GUAGGUGGCAAGCGUUGUCCGGAAUUAUUGGGCGUAAAGCGCGCGCAGGCGGUUCUUUAAGUCUGAUGUGAAAGCCCACGGGCUCAACCGUGGAGGGUCAUUGGAAACUGGAGAACUUGAGUCCCAGAAGAGUAAAGCGGAAUUCCACGUGUAGCGGUGAAAUGCGUAGAGAUGUGGAGGAACACCAGUGGCGAAGGCGGCUUUCUGGUCUGUAACUGACGCUGAGGCGCGAAAGCGUGGGGAGCAAACAGGAUUAGAUACCCUGGUAGUCCACGCCGUAAACGAUGAGUGCUAAGUGUUAGGGGGUUUCCGCCCCUUAGUGCUGCAGCUAACGCAUUAAGCACUCCGCCUGGGGAGUACGGCCGCAAGGCUG
rnacentral:rRNA from 1 species